UACGAAGGGGGUUAGCGUUGCUCGGAAUCACUGGGCGUAAAGCGCACGUAGGCGGGUUGCUAAGUCAGGGGUGAAAUCCUGGAGCUCAACUCCAGAACUGCCUUUGAUACUGGCGACCUCGAGUCCGGGAGAGGUGAGUGGAACUGCGGGUGUAGAGGUGAAAUUCGUAGAUAUUCGCAAGAACACCAGUGGCGAAGGCGGCUCACUGGCCCGGUACUGACGCUGAGGUGCGAAAGCGUGGGGAGCAAACAGG
rnacentral:rRNA from 1 species